CCCUUAGAUGUUCUGGGCCGCACGCGCGCUACACUGAAGGAAUCAGCGCGUCUUUCUCCUUGUCCGAAAGGACUGGGUAACCCGCUGAACCUCCUUCGUGCUAGGGAUUGGGGCUUGUAAUUCUUCCCCAUGAACGAGGAAUUCCCAGUAAGCGCGAGUCAUAAGCUCGCGUUGAUUGCGUCCCUGCCCUUUGUACACACCGCCCGUCGCUACUACCGAUUGGAUGGUUUAGUGAGAUCCUCGGAUUGGUCCCGGCGCGGCCUCUGGUCGUGCCGGAGUGCCGAAAAGAAUGUCGAACUUGAUCAUCUAGAGGAAGUAAAAGUCGUAACA
rnacentral:rRNA from 1 species